UGGGGUGUAGCUCAGUGGUAGAGCACUUGCUUAGAAUGUGCAAGGCCCUGGGUUCUAUCCCUAGUACUGCAA
rnacentral:tRNA from 1 species